rnacentral:lncRNA from 1 species
AAACAACUUCAACGGCCUUUCCAUGCCCAAAGACACUGCAGCAGAGCCGUCUAUGAAUGACAGAUGAAAUGCCUUAGAGUCUUAGUUCCAAACCACCUCCCCGGACAGUCGGAAAUCCCACUGGCUGGAGGAAUAAAUAAAUUCCUUAUCUUGUCAAGGAAGCUCCUCCCAAGCUACAAAAGUUGCAGACAGCAAAGGGAUCAAGUGACCCCAGAGAUGAAAUCUGUGACUCUCUGGUGGAGCAACAUGAUAGUAAUAAACAAAGGUUGAGUGCCUGCUGUAUAAAGCAACCUCUGGAGUGCCUGAUAUCUACUAACUCUUUUAGCACCCACUCGACCCUGUGAGAUGCGUAUUACUUUAUUGUAUCUACCACUGUAAAAAAGAAUGAACCAAGCUACAGCAAUAUUAUGUUGCUUGCCCUGAGUCACACAGCUGAGUAAGUCACAGGAGUUUGUGCUCAUAAUGACUUUGCUAUGCUGAUGUUUGAACCUGGAACCAUUCAGCAACCCUCCAGCUAAUAUGGCUCCAUGCUCUACUUCUGGAAAAGCUGAGUUCCUGCAGCCUUGUCCUACAUCACCCAAAAGAGCUGGAAAAGAAUGCAGUGAGUUCCAUUCUAUUUGUUCCGAGAAUAGGAAAGCCACAUUGAAGCAAUAUCUUAAAGAGAAAUCUAUAGUUAGGAGUGAUGAAGAUUUGAAACAGAUGUCAGCAGAAAGAAAAAGGGAGAGGCACCAUGAUAAUUAUACUCAGUGAUGCUUUUUAAAUGACAUAUAUUCAGUUAAAUAUAGGGAGGUUUGCUGCUAGCCAUAUGAACAAAGCACAAGAGAAUUCCUGGAUCAAGGCAGACUUAAAGAGACAUUGAAAAAAAAACAAAAUUCAAAAUUUUGACCUAGUGCAGGAAGAAGUGCAAGUACAGGGGAAGUGGAGGGAAGGAGUGGGGAGGCUGGCACAGAGAUGGCACGGGCAGAUACGAGCAGAUUGACUCGCCAGGACUGUCAUUGGGCCACCGCUCUUAGCAGGAAUUUCACCAUUGAAUGACCUAAUUAUUGUCUUGGGAAAAACACAAGAGCUCCUGUCCAUAACAGGAUAACAGAUGUAUUUCAGUGGAGCACAGAAUAGGCCGGAUGGUGACUAGCAAGAAUAAAAGCCCAAGUGGACUGAAGAAUCCAUCCAAGAUAUGGUCAGGACGGGCUUGUGGAAAACUUGUGCAAUAAUGAGAAGAAAUGUUAUUUGUCACUACCUUUUUUAGGCAGCUGUGUGGAUAAACCUACUUUGGGGUAGGAGCUGAGCCUCAGGCCUGUGACCGCUAGAAGCCAGACUUGAAGCCAGGAAAGAGGCCGCUCUUCCCAGGAGUUGGGAGAAUUUGACUUUGGUGUAGAAUCCAAAAGGCGGGAGAGAGGGUUCCAGGGAGGAGCUGGGGGUGGAGGCUAAAAAAGGAGCCCUGGUUGCCAAAGCCAGGAGGUGACUUUACAGGAGAGCAGCAGUGACUAAGCCAGGAAGUGACUUUGCGGGAGAGCAGCAGUGACUAAUUCAGGAGGUGACUUUGCGGAAGAGCAGCAGUGACUAAGCCAGGAGGUGACUUUGCGGGAAAGCUGCAGUGAUUGUGAAGUUGUUCACAUACAGGGGGUCAUGGGACACCCUCUACGAUCUCCCGUGGGAAAUCCUCAGUAAGCACUCUCACUCUAGCAAUAAGCACUCUCACUCUAGAAAGCCCUUUUGGUGCUUCCAGUCACAUUGCCUGGCCCACGCUCGGUGAGAGCUCACAUGCGCUUCUGGUCCUGGCCUUCUCAGACGCCACAGUAGCUGCCCACCCUGCAAAAGACCUGGAAGGGGAGGGGAGCCUGUGCCACAGCAGCCAGAGGAUGAAUGUCCUGUCAUGAACAAUUCCUGGGGGCACUAUGUACAUUUUGUAGAAGUCCUGCCAGAAUGGAACCUUGCUGUCUACAGCAGCGACCUUGAUAACACAUCAUUUGAUUUUUCCUCCUUUUGUGACUCAUGCUUCUGCUACCUCACCCUGGCUUCCUGAGAUCACCUCCCAGAUGAACUCCCUGCACUGAAUUCUGGUCUCAGUUUGCUUUGGGGAGAACUCAAAACUAAGACAUUCACCACUGUGUUUGUGUGAGCCAAAUCUUCACAUCAUGAGCAGGCGCUAUGUCUGCGUUCAGCCAGACAAACAGCAAACCAGCAACUGCCCACAUGAAUACAGUCCAUGGACAAGAGGAGAGUGAUAGCUGAGCGACUUUGGGACUUGCUGUCAAAGAUACCUGUCUCCCUCUCUUUCAUUCUCUUUACCUUUCCAUCAGACUAUGUGGCUGCCUCAUUCCCCCGUGUCCUGCAAGCAAGGAUAUUAACUAUACAAACAGUCCAGCUUAAAACAAAAUGGGCAGAAUAUUUGAAUAGACACUUCACAAAGGAAGACAAACAAAUUACCAAUAAGUGUGUUAACAAUUCUUAACAUCGUUAGUCAUCAGGGAAGUGGAAAUUAAUACCACAAGGAGAAAUCACUACACACUAAAGUGGCUAAAAUGAAAAAGAGUAAUGACAUCAAAUUCUAAUCUGAGUAUAGAGCAACUGUUGAUGGAAAUAUAAGAUGGUACAGCCACUUUGGAUAUAAUAAAAUGAUGCAACCACUUUGGAAAAGUUUGGCAGCUUUAUGUAAAACUAAGCAAAUACCUUUGGCCCAGCAAUUCCACUCAAGCAAUCCUUCCCUAAAGAAAUAAAAAUAUAUAUCCGCCAAAAGAUUUGU